AUUACUUGCUUUCUGUAAGUUCUCUUCACUAGAUUGUGGACUGCUCUAUAGAAGGGCCCAGGCUUUGAACCUCACCUUGAAAGGAGAUUCCAUCCUUCCUUCCUGCUUCUAGCAUCAACAGAGCCAAGAAUAUAUGUGUGAAGAAGGUGCCUUGCUUUCUCUUCACCUUUCCCCAUGAAGUUUCCCCAUGAGGCCACCCUGCCAUGCUGAACUAAGAGACAAACCUGACUCUGAUCUAUGCUGGCUGCAGGUUCUGCAGAGCUGUUUCAAGUGACAAGAUGGCAAAUGAAUGGGUCCGUUGGUUGCCUGGUGUGUUUAUUUCUAUUCAGACACCAAAGGCCUAUGGGUAACUGCAAAUUCACAGUUUCAUUUGCUGUUAUGUUCCAUCAAUGUGAAGAAGCACAGGAAAUUAACAUAUCUGUAACCACACCUUUAUUAUAUUAUGUGAAAGUAUAAAUUACAUGCCAUAUUCAUUAAACUGAUAUAAAACCACAUUUUGAAAAUAAAGCUUAGUAAGUGGAUACUUAGUAUCACAUUGGUGAUACUAAGUUUAUGACUUGCUUUUAAUAUUUGGAUUGCCAAUAAAUUUGGAAGCUAAUGUAUGGAGUAUAAAAAUAGUGAAAAACAUGGGCUUUGGGGUUGGACAUGGCUAUGAAUCCAAAUUACUAGGUCUUUGGUCAAGGGCAAGUUAUUAAACUUUUUGAAAUGCCUACAUCACUAGUUACUGUGAAAAUUAAGAGACAGUGCACGUAAAAGCCAUAAUCCUGUGCUUGGCACAUCUUAAGAGCUCAAUAUACGUCAGUGAUUAUAAGGAUUUGUUACCAAGUCAGAGUAAACUCUGUAGUUUAAAAUACUGUGUUUCUCUGAUUAAAUGACACACAUUAUCCACAUAUUUUUUGUUUCUGAUAUUAACAUACAUUUUUAAAAUUAGUGUGUAUAUUUCCCUUGCUGUCUGUCUUCUUACGCCCUUUCAAAAAUGUCAUUAAAUCCACUGUGUAUCUUAUUAUUGGA